rnacentral:rRNA from 1 species
UACGUAGGGGGCAAGCGUUGUCCGGAAUUAUUGGGCGUAAAGCGCGCGCAGGCGGUCAUUUAAGUCUGGUGUUUUAAUCCUAGGGCUCAACCCUAGGUCGCACUGGAAACUGGGUGACUUGAGUACAGAAGAGGAAAGUGGAAUUCCACGUGUAGCGGUGAAAUGCGUAGAGAUGUGGAGGAACACCGAGUGGCCGGAAGGCGAACUUUCUGGU